GACGAACGCUGGCGGCGUGCUUAACACAUGCAAGUCGAACGCUGAAGCUCAGCUUUUGUUGGGUGGAUGAGUGGCGAACGGGUGAGUAACACGUGAGUAACCUGCCUCCUUCUUUGGGAUAACGCCCGGAAACGGGUGCUAAUACUGGAUAUUCACUGGUCUUCGCAUGGGGGUUGGUGGAAAGGGUUGUUCUGGUGGGGGAUGGGCUCGCGGCCUAUCAGCUUGUUGGUGGGGUGAUGGCCUACCAAGGCUUUGACGGGUAGCCGGCCUGAGAGGGUGACCGGUCACAUUGGGACUGAGAUACGGCCCAGACUCCUACGGGAGGCAGCAGUGGGGAAUAUUGCACAAUGGGCGCAAGCCUGAUGCAGCGACGCCGCGUGAGGGAUGGAGGCCUUCGGGUUGUGAACCUCUUUCGCUCAUGGUCAAGCCGCAACAAUGGUUGUGGUGAGGGUAGUGGGUAAAGAAGCGCCGGCUAACUACGUG
rnacentral:rRNA from 1 species